UAUCUGAGAUAAUACUACUGACAAAUUAGAAGCGAACGGUUGCCCAGGUAAGAUACAAUCUGAUAUAUCUCUAUUUAUUGAAAGUUCUGUCAGAUUCCAAUGACAACUUAUACAGUUACGAGACCAUGAUAAGAAAAUGCGUGUAGUGGAGUAAAACCAGGCAACAAAAAGGAACUGAUGUCUGGAGUGAACUGAACAUAUAAAGCCGUAAAUGCAUCAUAGAUACCAAAAUUGCAAGAUUCGCACAAGUAUAGUAGGGAAGAAAUGUCAGGGUGGGUUUUAAUACCCUCUGUAUCAUUGGUUGGGGAAUCCCCAACAUAUUUUUGCUCUGAUAGCAUACCAAUACUCAAAAAUAUACUUUAAAUAUUCAAUAGAAUGUGUCAUACGAAAGAAAAUGAAACAAGUCUUAUUCGAAAGAAAGGACCGGUAUUUAACCUAGAGAAACUAGGCGCGUUUUUUGCCCCAGGUAAUAUAACAGACACAAUAUAACAUUUAAAACGAAGUCGUAAACCCAUCAUCGAUAUCAAAACUGCAAGAGUCGCACAAGUAUAGUGGGAAUGAAAUGUCAGGUUGAGUUUUAACAGCCUCUGUACCAUAGGUUUGGGGAAUUCCCUCCCUAUUUUUGCUCUGAUAGUAUACUCAUGCUCAAAAAGAUAUUUUAAAUAUUCAACAGAAUAUGCCCUUACGAAAGAAUAUGAAACAAUAGUCCUAUUCGAAAGAAAUAAUUGAUAUUUAACCUUGAGACCUGGCACGUUUCUUGUUGCCCUAGGUGAACUAACAUUAACUUCCCAGGCACAACCUCUGAGCUCACUCAGCCAAGGGCUCUCAGUUAUCGGUUGUCCGCAGCCCAGACUGCAGAUGCGUGUAUCUCAUGAACUGCAUGUAAAGUGAAAUACCACAUGACAAUGCUGUGGCUGGGAAUAGUUUUGCUGUUCGUUUACGCGGCCGAAGGACAAGGCAGCCCUUCCUGCGUCUGGCCGGACGGCCAGACGCAUUU